AGUCAGUGAUGAUUAAAGUGUAAGAGUAGUGGACAGAAGUGAUUUCUGACAAACUAUAUACACUGAUGCU
ensembl:snoRNA small nucleolar RNA SNORD75